AAGUUGAAAAACUGACAAAUACCUUUUAGGAUUUGUUUCUCUUCUCUCCGGAGCCAAUUCAAUGUCUCUGGCCAUCAGCCAUCCCCCAUCCAGUCUUAUCUCUUCCUCCGAUCACUUUCUGUUCCCUCUCAGGCUAUCUUCAGUAGAGACAAAGACGAAAUCAUAAUCUUGAAAGACUGCUGUUAAAGUCUUAGGGCAUCAUUGUUGCAGGCAUUCUUGUUUUCAUCUUCAGAUUUGCUCUCUGUGGAUGUGCUUUGGUGUGUAUGUAACAGCAGUGCUUUUAUAGAGGACGAAGAUUUUCAGGCAGUGCAUGAUGCCGUACAUACAAAAUACAUCAUGUUCAAGAAAUUUCAGGGAGCUAUGCAGAUAGUAGUCAUGGCUGAAACUGUGGUAUGAAAAUGCCUCAAGUUUCACCUCAAUUUAAAGUCGUAUGUUUAACUUCAUUUUAAUGAGCUUUAAUUUUGUGAUGGAUAAUUUUUUUAAUUUCAGAUACACCUUAACAGAGCCCGUAACUGUUUACCUUUGAAGAAAAUUUUUCAGAUAUUUAAAGAUCUUAAUGAUGCUGAGCAUCUAAUUACAGGAAAUAGAUGCAGCAACAUUUAAAGAUUUUAGUCAUCAUGAAUGGCACAUAGGUGUUGUAAGUACUACUAAAUUUGGUCAGCCUGUAAUUGUUUUGUGUUCAUUAUGUUAGCUGUCAAAGUGUUACUGCAUGUUUUAAUGUUUGAUGUAGCCGACUUCUUAUGGUGAUGAAAGCUCAAACAAUUCAGUAAUUGUAGUAA